GGAGUUAGCCGGUGCUUCUUCUGUGAGUGAUGUCCUUCCUGCCGGCUAUUAACCCGCAGGCCUUCUUCCUCACUGAAAGUGCUUUACAACCCGAAGGCCUUCUUCACACACGCGGCAUGGCUGGAUCAGGGUUGCCCCCAUUGUCCAAUAUUCCCCACUGCUGCCUCCCGUAGGAGUCUGGGCCGUGUCUCAGUCCCAGUGUGGCUGAUCAUCCUCUCAGACCAGCUACGGAUCGUCGCCUUGGUGAGCCGUUACCUCACCAACCAGCUAAUCCGACAUAGGCUCAUCCGAUAGCGCGAGGCCCGAAGGUCCCCCGCUUUCCCCCGUAGGGCGUAUGCGGUAUUAGCCUGGGUUUCCCCAGGUUAUCCCCCACUACCGGGCAGAUUCCUAUGCAUUACUCACCCGUCCGCCGCUCGCCACCAGGGAGCAAGCUCCCCGUGCUGCCGCUCGACUUGCAUGUGUUAGGCCUGCCGCCAGCGUUCAAUCUGACGCGAGANACAACUCAGA
rnacentral:rRNA from 1 species